rnacentral:sRNA from 1 species
UAAUAUAAAGGAAAGGAACUAUGCGCUAACAUAGUCCCCAAUGUAGACCCGUUAAAAAGACGGUGGCAUAGUGUUAAUAGUUUUUAAC